CCCCUUUCAGGAUGGCACCCGGAGAGUUUCCAGUGCUCUCCCAGUCUCCGCUACGGGAGGGAGAGUCGAGCGGAGGCCCGUCCAUUCCAUUCCUAGCUUGGCCAGUGGCUAGCGAGUGGAAGGCCACCUGCUACAAGU